rnacentral:rRNA from 1 species
UGAGCAACCUGCCCUUGACUCUGGAAUAACAGCUGGAAACAGCUGCUAAUACCGGAUACGACCUCCGAUGGCAUCAUCUGGAGGUGGAAAGCUCCGACGGUCAAGGAUGGGCUCGCGGCCUAUCAGCUUGUUGGUGAGGUAACGGCUCACCAAGGCUUCGACGGGUAGCCGGCCUGAGAGGGCGACCGGCCACACUGGGACUGAGAUACGGCCCAGACCUCUACGGGGAG